AUUGAACGCUGGCGGCAUGCCUUACACAUGCAAGUCGAACGGCAGCGCGGACUUCGGUCUGGCGGCGAGUGGCGAACGGGUGAGUAAUACAUCGGAACGUACCCUGUUGUGGGGGAUAACUAGUCGAAAGAUUAGCUAAUACCGCAUACGACCUGAGGGUGAAAGUGGGGGACCGCAAGGCCUCACGCAGCAGGAGCGGCCGAUGUCUGAUUAGCUAGUUGGUGGGGUAAAGGCCCACCAAGGCGACGAUCAGUAGCUGGUCUGAGAGGACGAUCAGCCACACUGGGACUGAGACACGGCCCAGACUCCUACGGGAGGCAGCAGUGGGGAAUUUUGGACAAUGGGGGCAACCCUGAUUCAGCAAUGCCGCGUGUGUGAAGAAGGCCAUCGGGUUGUAAAGCACUUUUGUCCGGAAAGAAAUCGCGCUGGUUAAUACCUGGCGUGGAUGACGGUACCGGAAGAAUGAGCACCGGCUAACUACGUGCCAGCCGCCGCCGUAA
rnacentral:rRNA from 1 species